UAAGUUGAUAAGCUUGAAUGUUUAUUUACGAGAUCAUUUCAUUGUUUUAAAUCUUAUUAUCUUUUAAUAUUAAAAAAAAUAUUCUUAAACUUUUGUGUGUGUAUAUUUGUGUAUCCAUAAAAAUAGCUAUUAAGGCGACCAGGGAAAAAAUCAUAAUUUUGGUCAAAAAUAGCUAUAUACUAAGCAUUUUUUAUUUGUUUUACUUUAUUUAAAGCCUAUUGUAUAUUAUCCCGAAGUUUCAUUCCAUAAAAAACAGAAAUAAGGAAAUUCGAUAUUUCGUGUACCACCAGCAUCCAAAUUUUCAAGUAUACAGAAAUUUAACUUUCCGGAAUAUAACGGAAAUUUUCCGGGUAUCUCCGUGGUACCAUCUCCGUGCAAUUAUGCAGUAUGGCGUUCAUCUCUUACGGAAAGAGAAUGGUAACUUGUUGCUGCUUGGGACAAUAAAGUUAAGUCAGCAACCGUCUACCAGACUGCAAGAUUCAGCUCUUCCAAAGGAUGUCGUACCUUUCCAGAUACACUGUGUUUUGUGUGGAUAAGAAAUGCAGAGUGGUACCACCAAUCACCUAAGCCACCAUUCCCCUAACAGACAAUAGGCUCAUUGGGACAGUUCCUGCAAAAUACAGAAAAGCUCUCAAUUGUAGCCCUACGAACUUCAGAUACUGCUGAUGGUGAAGCUUGGGUGCACCGGGCCGGUUUUCCAGCCGUGUGGAAUCAACAUCUCCAGCUGAACUGGGGCCGGGAAUUAUAUAAGACUCCUUAGCAGCAUGAGUGCCAGCCAGUCAUUGCUGUUCUUGCAUUGCUGAGGAGGACAGUCCUGCCAACAUAACAGUUUGUUCAAUAACAGGAGACAAACAGAAACACAGAGGUGCUAUACAUUCUGAUGGAAAAACAAAAGCAUCUCCCAUCAUUUUGGCGUGGCUCAGAUCAAGAGGAGAAUUUUAAGAAAGGUGAUGGUUGGGCACACACAAGAAGACAUAGAUCACAGGUGUCUAGCCAUAUGAGUAGAUAGGAGUGUCACACUCUGCCAAACUUACUUCAUCAGACGAGCAGAAAGCUUCUCAAGAUCCCGCACUGCACACUAAGACAUAGUCUUUGACUACAACAAGGUGAUGAAAGUACAGAGAGGUCCAAUUGAAAUCAAUUCUGUGCUGCUGUCAUUUCUUCAUUCUGGAAGUCGAUGGACAUGAUUUAUCAUGGCAUCAAGUGUGCAGUUUGCCGACUAUCAGCAGUCUUGUUCACCAGCUGUGCAACUUGAGCUGGUAGCUUUAUUGCUUGAAGUCACUGCAUAAGAGGGGAAAGGUGCAGGCUCAUCAAAAAGUCUCAAAAGUUGAAACUAGGAAAAAUAUUUUAUCAAGAGAGUGAAUCUAUUUUGAAAACAAUCGUUACAAUGAUUUGGUUUCCUUUGAAACUUGAUACAUACUAUGAAUUGAGAUUCUUAAAUAAAAAACCGCUAUUCAAAUAUCAGGAAACUGCCUUUUUCAUGCUAAAGGGUAAAUGAUGUCGCCAUUUCCUGUAUGUAUUUAAAUAAGAUAUGUCUCCACAAUUAAUAUUUUUAGGGAAUUUUUCUCAACCUAAUGAAUAAGAUUAAAUUGUACAGCGUUAUAUGAGCUUAAUAUGUGUUUUCUCAUUCUUUAAAAUUGGUGAAAAAUUGUCAGAAGAUAAUUAGACCAGUAUCCAUUACUGCAAUCAUACAAUCAAAUAUACAGGGACAUAUAAUAUAAUUAAACCCUGUUUAGGGGCACGAGGCAAACAGAGUUACUUUCAAACGUUAAAGCUGCACUCUCACACUUUGGAUGUUUUGACAACCUUUUUCAUUUUAUGUCUUGGAUUGGAACCAUCCAAUUUUUGCGAAAAAUUAAAUCCCAGAUUUUUCUAUUUAAGUUAAAACAUUGAUGUUUUUUAUGCACUUUUCUUAAACCGUUAGUAACAUUAAUUUUCGAACGGAAAUAUGAAAUCUGCGAUCUGAUCUUUUGUCAGCAAUCUAUUAUCAUUGGUUUGCAGAUAAUUACGCAAAAACUUGCUCAUUCGAAGACAAAAAAAGUUGUGGAAACGGUAUAUCUGUGAGAGUGCAGCUCUAAAUGUUUAAUUGCUUGAUUUUACUACUGUAUUAGAAAUUACAGGGAUUGGGGUAUAUUUUUAGUGUUUUUAUUGCUUGUUUUUGAUUCAUACAGUCAUACUUUAUUCUUCAGGGCACAACUUACAAAUAAACAAAACUGGAAAAUGGUCAUAUCAAUAUUACAGAUUGUCAGUUUAGACACAAAAUUGUCUCAAAAUCAGCUGAUUUGGUUAUCAUUCCUGUAAUUCAGUGAUAUUAGAUAAUUCACAAUAGAACCAAUCAAAAAUGUUUGGUAAAACUGCCGAAAAGUUCAUUUACAUUAAAUUGUUCGUAAUGCUUUUAGUCAUUGUUCGUAAUGCUUUUAGUCAUAAAACAUCAUUUUUUUUAACAUAAAUAUGAUGAACUGCAAUCUGAUCUUUUUUCAGCAGUCUUAUAUCACUUAAAAUUGGGUCUAGACAUUUCUGCAAAAAAUACUCCAUUUAUUGACUAACAAUAAAAGAGUACCGGUAGUCAAAACGAUCAAUCGGUGAGAUUGCAGCUUUAAAUACACCUUUUAAGACCGCUGUAAAAUUCCAAUGGUUUGCCUAAAUCUUUAAAACUAGCAUACUGUUUAAUUGACAACCAUACUUAUUGUUUAAAAGUGUCAUGAUAUCUUUGUACAAUGUUUUUAUAUAAUUCAUUAAAGAAGUCAAAACAAAUUUGUUUAUCUUGUAAUUUGUUAUCUAUUAUUUAAAUGACUCAGACA